UCUUGGUGUAGCAGUGCGGACGUGUUUGUUGUCCCGUGUAAAUGUUGUUUUUUCUCUUUUUUGUAUAUAUUUCACUCUUUUUCCAUUUUCAAAUUAAAUAUACCUUCCGGCAACCCACCUCACCCAACGUGAGACGGAUCUGCUAUUUUUAGACCUUAUAGCUAGAACCUCCAUCAGAAGCUAGCCAGCAAAUUAUCUACUAGCUAUUUAGUCAUUGUUAUCCACUGCUAGCGGCCUUUACCUUUAGCUCAGACACCAGCCGCUUUUAGACUGGAUAAUACCUGCCAGUCUGCACAGCACGAUAUCAACCCUGAGCAUAUUGGACUGCUUUUCUCCACUACAUCACCGGAUUCCUGCCAUUAGCUCUGGACCAUUACACCGGAUCAUCACAGCUAGCUAGCUGCUACCGAGUGGCCCAGCCCCGAAGCUAGCCUUGAGCCAGUCCCAAUGAUCACUCGACUACACAGCUGAUGCCUCCCGGACUCUUACCGGACUCUUCACUAACACGACUAGAAGCCACUACAUCACCGGAUUCCUGCUAGGAACGCUCCAACUGCCAAAAAAAUGACCUUACAUCCAAGCCUGUCACUGCUACACUAGCAGCUGCUCCCUCACAUCUGACCCUGGACUAUACCUGCUGCUUUCUCCUAUAGGGGAGAGAGGGGGUGUUGUGUAUCCCAGGAAAUAAUCAAAAUUAAUGUAAGUGUUACAGUUUUGAAAACCAAGCUUGUCGGUCUCUUGGCACAACUUACCAGAGUAUGGGGUAAAUAGCGCCACUGGACAGGACCAUGACUUUUUCCUAAAUAUUGGGUCAAAUUAGGCAUGGGUCCUCAGAUUUGGCGUGGGUCCUCAGAUCCUCAAAAGGUUCUACAGCUGCACCAUUGAGAGCAUCCUGACAGGUUGCAUCACUGCCUGGUAUGGCAAUUGCUCAACCUCCAACCGCAAGGCACUACAGAGGGUAGUGCGUACGGCCCAGUACAUCACUGGGGCCAAGCUUCCUGCCAUCCAGGACCUCUAUACGAGGUGGUGUUAGAGGAAGGCUCUAAAAAUUGUCAAAGACUCCAGACACCCUAGUCAUAGACUGUUCUCUCUGCUACUGCACGGCAAGCGGUACUGGAGCACCAAGUCUAGGUCCAAGAGGCUUCUAAACAGCUUUUACGCCCAAGCCAUAAGACUCCUGAACAUUGAAUCAAAUGUCUACCCAGAUGAUUUGCAUUGCCCCCACCCCCCUCUUUUAUGCUGCUGCUACUCUCUGUUAUUAUCUAUGAUAGUCACUUUAAUAGCUCCACCUACAUGUACAGAUUACCUGAAUUACCUCAACUAACCGGUGCCCCC
rnacentral:lncRNA from 1 species